AUGCUCUCUUUGGCAGCAUAUAUACUAAAAUUAAAACGAUACAAAAAGAUUAUCAUGGCCCCUGCCCAAUGAUGACAUGCAAAUUCCUGAUGUGUUCCACAUAGUU